rnacentral:rRNA from 1 species
UACGGGGGGGGCAAGCGUUGUUCGGAAUUACUGGGCGUAAAGGGCUCGUAGGCGGCCAACUAAGUCGGAUGUGAAAUCCCCAGGCUCAACCUGGGAACUGCAUCCGAUACUGGAUGGCUUGAGUUCGGGAGAGGGAUGCGGAAUUCCAGGUGUAGCGGUGAAAUGCGUAGAUAUCUGGAGGAACACCAAUGGCGAAGGCAGCUCGCUGGGACGUUACUGACGCUGAGACGCGAAAGCGUGGGGAGCAAACAGG